GGUGGUAUAGCUCAGUGGUAGAAAGUGUGUUUGGCAUGCACAAGGUCCUAGGUUCAAUCCCCAGUACCUCCG
rnacentral:tRNA from 1 species